CUACGGGAGGCAGCAGUGAGGAAUAUUGGUCAAUGGGCGCAAGCCUGAACCAGCCAUGCCGCGUGCAGGAAGAAGCAUCUAUGGUGUGUAAACUGCUUUUAUACAGGAAGAAACACCCCCACGUGUGGGGGCUUGACGGUACUGUAGGAAUAAGGAUCGGCUAACCCCGUGCCAGCAGCCGCGGUAAUA
rnacentral:rRNA from 1 species